rnacentral:rRNA from 1 species
UACAGAGGGGGCAAGCGUUAUUCGGAAUUAUUGGGCGUAAAGGGCGCGUAGGCGGCCAGGCAAGUGGAAGGUGAAAUCCCUCGGCUUAACCGAGGAACUGCCCUCCAAACUGCUUGGCUUGAGACCGGGAGAGGUGAGUGGAAUUCCCAGUGUAGCGGUGAAAUGCGUAGAUAUUGGGAGGAACACCAGUGGCGAAGGCGACUGCCUGGACGACACCUGACGCUGAGGCGCGAAAGCUAGGGGAGCAAACGGG